rnacentral:rRNA from 1 species
AGUAGAGUGUAUGGUGAAUGAUGCAGUUAAAAUGUCCGUAGUUGUUUGUAUGUCUUUUGAGUGAUGUUUAUGGUUUUUGUGGAUGUAGUUUUAUUGUAGCAGANGACGAGGGGCACUGGAUAGUUGGGCGAGGGGUGAAAUACGAAGACCCUGACUGGACGAAGAGAAGCGAAGGCUGUGUUCUUGGACUUUUGUGGUGAUGAAGGACGAAGGCUAGAGGAUCGAAAUCGAUUAGAUACCGUUUUAGUUCUAGCAGUAAACGAUGCCGACUGGACAGGGACUGUUUUAGUGUUGUCCGAGAGAAAUCUUAAGUAUGUNGGUUCUGGGGAUAGUAUGCUCGCAAGAGUGAAACUUGAAGAGAUUACGGAAGGACACCACAAGGAGUGAGU